GACAGAGGGUGCAAACGUUGUUCGGAAUUACUGGGCGUAAAGCGCGUGUAGGCGGCCCUGCAAGUCGGGUGUGAAAUCCCACGGCUCAACCGUGGAAGUGCACUCGAAACUGCAGGGCUAGAGUCCUGGAGAGGAAGGUGGAAUGCUUGGUGUAGAGGUGAAAUUCGUAGAUAUCAAGCGGAACACCGGUGGCGAAGGCGGCCUUCUGGACAGUGACUGACGCUGAGACGCGAAGGCGUGGGGAGCGAACAGG
rnacentral:rRNA from 1 species